GACGAACGCUGGCGGCGUGCUUAACACAUGCAAGUCGAACGAACAGCCGCUUCGCUUGCUAUCCUGACGUUAGCGGUGGAUGGGAGAGUAACAAGUGGAUCCCCUCUCUAUAAGAACUGGAUGAAUUUGGGACUACUACGCUAAUAUCAGCUCUUCUCUCGAAGGGCAUGGUUCAAUAGUGUUCGGCGGUUUUGUUGUCACUCAUCCUUUCAUCCGCGCCGCAUUAGCUAGUUGUUAAGGUAACGCGUUACGAAGUCGACGAUGCGUAGUCGACCGGAGCGAGGGAUCGGCCACACGGGAACUGAGACACGGUCCAGAGUCCUGCGGGAGGCAGCAGUAGGGAAUCGGCCGCAAUGGGCGAAAGCCUUACGGAGCAACGCCGCGUGAGUGAUGAAGGUCCUGGGAUCGUAAAGCUCGGUUAUGAGGGAAGAACAAAUGUGUAAAGAGCUGUACACCACGUGACGGUACCUAAACAGAAAGCCACGGCUAACUACGUG
rnacentral:rRNA from 1 species